rnacentral:tRNA from 3 species
UCCUGAGUAGCUCAAUGGUAGAGCGGUUGGCUGUUAACCAAUAGGUUGCUGGUUCGAGUCCAGCCUCAGGAGCCA